UGUCCUGAUGAUACCAAUGUUAGGAAGUGCCGUCAGAAGCGAUAACUGACGACUUUUUUGCUUGCCUGACU